rnacentral:SRP_RNA from 5 species
UGUUGGUUCUCCCGCAACACUACUCUGUUUACCAGGUCAGAUCCGGAAGGAAGCAGCCAAAGCGGAUGACGUGUGUGCCGGGAUGUAGCUGGCAGGG